rnacentral:rRNA from 1 species
UUGGUAUGUACUGGCCUUACUGAUUCCUCCUUCUUGAAGAACUGUGAUGUCAUUUAUUUGGUGUUUCAGGGAAACAGGACUGUUACUUUGAAAAAAUUAGAGUGUUUAAAGCAGGCUAACGCUUGAAUACAUUAGCAUGGAAUAAUGAAAUAGGACGUUUGAUCCUAUUUUGUUGGUUUCUAGGAUUGACGUAAUGAUUAAUAGGGAUAGUUGGGGGCAUUAGUGUUCAAUUGUCAGAGGUGAAAUUCUUGGAUUUAUUGAAGACUAACUACUGCGAAAGCAUUUGCCAAGGAUGUUUUCAUUAAUCAAGAACGAAAGUUAGGGGAUCGAAGACGAUCAGAUACCGUCGUAGUCUUAACCAUAAACUAUGCCGACUAGGGAUCGGAUGAUGUUAAUUUUUUAAUGACUCAUUCGGCGCCUUACG